CCUUCGAUAGCUCAGCUGGUAGAGCGGAGGACUGUAGAGGUGCCACUCGCGGAAAUCCUUAGGUCGCUGGUUCGAUUCCGGCUCGAAGGA
rnacentral:tRNA from 1 species